AACGAACGCUGGCGGCAUGCCUAACACAUGCGAGUCGAACGAGACCUUCGGGUCUAGUGGCGCACGGGUGCGUAACGCGUGGGAACCUGCCCUUAGGUUCGGCAUAACUCCCCGAAAGGGGUGCUAAUACCGGAUAAUGUCUUCGGACCAAAGAUUUAUCGCCUUUGGAUGGGCCCGCGUUGGAUUAGCUAGUUGGUAGGGUAAAAGCCUACCAAGGCGACGAUCCAUAGCUGGUCUGAGAGGAUGAUCAGCCACACUGGGACUGAGACACGGCCCAGACUCCUACGGGAGGCAGCAGUGGGGAAUAUUGGACAAUGGGCGAAAGCCUGAUCCAGCAAUGCCGCGUGAGUGAUGAAGGCCUUAGGGUUGUAAAGCUCUUUUACCCGGGAUGAUAAUGACAGUACCGGGAGAAUAAGCGCCGGCUAACUCCGUG
rnacentral:rRNA from 1 species